rnacentral:tRNA from 1 species
UAUGGCAGAAUAAUGCAGUGAGCCUAAGAUUCACAUAUGGGAAUUAAUUCCCUGUUAGAAA